rnacentral:rRNA from 3 species
UACAGAGGGUGCGAGCGUUGUCCGGAAUCACUGGGCGUAAAGGGCGCGUAGGUGGCGGCGUCAGCGUGCGGUGAAAGCUCGAGGCUCAACCUCGAGUCGGCCGUGCGAACUGCGUCGCUCGAGCAGAGUAGAGGCAGGUGGAAUUCCGGGUGUAGCGGUGGAAUGCGUAGAGAUCCGGAAGAACACCGGUGGCGAAGGCGGCCUGCUGGGCUCUGGCUGACACUGAGGCGCGACAGCGUGGGGAGCAAACAGG